UUAGUCCUACGGGAGGCAGCAGUGGGGAAUAUUGGGCAAUGGGCGCAAGCCUGACCCAGCAACGCCGCGUGAAGGAAGAAGGCUUUCGGGUUGUAAACUUCUUUUAAGAGGGAAGAGAAGAAGACGGUACCUCUUGAAUAAGCCACGGCUAACUACGUGCCAGCAGCCGCGGUAAUACGUAGGUGGCAAGCGUUAUCCGGAUUUACUGGGUGUAAAGGGCGUGUAGGCGGGGACGCAAGGCAGAUGUGAAAACCACGGGCCCAACCUGUGGCCUGCAUUUGAAACUGUGUUUCUUGAGUACUGGG
rnacentral:rRNA from 1 species